GCAGUUGACUUUGGCUGGGCCCUGUUGAUMUGGACCUCAACCUACUGACUGCUUUCUCUGCUUGACCUCAGAACUGCCUCAGUAUUAGGAGCUUGCGUGAUCAUCUGGGCUCCUGGAUGAACCUGCCUCUCUGGGGCUGCUCCAGCUGCCUGUUUGGGAGCCCUGGGACAGUGAGAUCCUGUUCCCUGCCUCCCCAUGCCUCGGGGAGCAGCCAGCUCAUGCUAGUGAUAGAACAACUGACCUCUGCUAGUUGGGAGAAUUGGUGCCACGUUUAUCUUAGAAGAUAAAAUAACUGCUGCUAUAAGAGCACAAUAUACUGAAUGGAUCCUCAGCUGAUCUUAUGARUAUCCAUGACUUCUGCCCUUCCACUUCUUACAGCCGUAUCCUCUCUCUGAAGUCUGCAUUAAAACUCGCAGGCACAACCAGAGUGCAAGCA